ACCCCGCGCCGCCGCUCUCUCGCUGCGACGCCAUCUUGAAUCGCAACGAGCGGUUGCGAUUGCUUGGUGCCAGUGCUUAGUUCGAGGCACAGUGCGCGCGGAUGCUUCGCUGACGCUUCUACUUGCUACACUGUGUUCAGCCGCAUGACUGACAAGCUUGUCAAGUGCAUCGAGUCGACAUGACGGGCAGUUGUGUUCCCAAGUGCGCCGGAUCAACGCGUAAAGGGCUUCGUCGUUUUCGCUUCCCCCGGGACCCAGUGCGAAGGAGGAGAUGGGAAGCCCAAGUAAAGCGGGAUCACUGGAAGGCAAUGGAUAGCUCUUACAUUUGCGAGAAACACAUUGAAGAGGACCAGUACGAGGGAAAUUGACAGGAUGGGCGCCGUCUGUUUCAACAGCCCUGCCCACGCUUUUUCAAUUUCGACGUGAGUAAUAAUUGUACUGUGGCAUAUUAUAUCCGGAAUCUUUAGUGGACGCAAUACAACGAAUGUUUUUUUUUUUUUUUUGUUCUUUUCAUUUCAGCUCGGCCUAAGCGAAGAAGGCCUCCCGCGAGGCGGCAUGCCGCAUGUGUACUUGCUGUUACGGAAAACAACAACCCUUCCUCAAGUAUUGCUCCAGAAGUUGACCUUGACGACACCGCAGAAGUCAGUCGAAAUAGUAUCUCCUCUUUGGAAGAAACUGCAGUUGAGCGUGAGUGCAAUGAAGACAUAUCGCUUUCGGCAUGUGAGCUACGAAAGGCUCUACGAAAAUGUGCUGUACUCGCCAUCGAUGUGUUUGGCUGAUGUAUUAUGGCUGGAUAUAUUAAUAUUACCCGUGGUUGCGUUUUCUUGUUGGUAUUCUUGUUUUCGAUUUAAAUUGUUUGUAAUAAGAUUGAUGUACUCACUUGAAAUCCCCCCCCCCCCAUGUAUUGAAUAAAACAAGACUUUCCCUAUCCCG